GUUCCUGCAGCGCAAUGGAUAGCGUGUUGGACUUCUAGUUCAAAGGCCGUGGGUUCGAAUCCAACCUGGGAUG
rnacentral:tRNA from 1 species